CCUGCCCAAUGAUUUUAAAAUUAAUAAAAGUAAAUUUUUAUAAUAAAAUUUAAAGGACGCAGUACCCUGACUGUGGUAAUGUAGCAUAAUCAUUCGCCAUUUAAUUGAUGGAUAGUAUGAAUGGUUGAACGAAUUCUUCACUGUCUUAAAAAGAGAAAUCAUGAAAUUAAAAUAAUAGUUAAGAUGCUAUUUAAAAUUGUAAGACGAAAAGACCCUAUAGAGCUUAACUACAAGCUUUGGUAGUUUAGUUGGGGCGACUAUCUUCUAAAAAUAACGAAGACAAGCAAUGUUAAUAAUUAACUUAUUGUAUAAUUAAUAAAUUUAACAAUUACAAAAGUAGGCUAUAAUGACCCGUUAUAAUUAAAUAAUAAAUGUAACGAUUAAUAAAUAAAAGCUACCUUAGGGAUAACAGGAUAAUUUUGUUUUAGAGAUCCUAUCGAAAACAAAGUUUGUCACCUCUAUGUUGAAUUAAGAUAUCCUGAUAGUGCAGAAGCUAUC
rnacentral:rRNA from 1 species